rnacentral:rRNA from 1 species
UAGCGAAGGGGGCUAGCGUUGCUCGGAAUCACUGGGCGUAAAGGGUGCGUAGGCGGGUUUUUAAGUCAGAGGUGAAAUCCUGGAGCUCAACUCCAGAACUGCCUUUGAUACUGAGAAUCUUGAGUACGGGAGAGGUGAGUGGAACUGCGAGUGUAGAGGUGAAAUUCGUAGAUAUUCGCAAGAACACCAGUGGCGAAGGCGGCUCACUGGCCCGAUACUGACGCUGAGGUGCGAAAGCGUGGGGAGCAAACGGGG